CACCGCGGUCAUACGAGUGCUUAACCCAAGUGGAUAACUAGCGGCGUAAAGAGUGGUUAAGGCCCCCCGACAACUAAAGAAGAACGACCUCCGGGCUGUUAUACGCACCCGAUAGUACGAACCCCUUUUACGAAAGUAACUUUAAGCCUCACCUGAACCCACGAAAGUUGGGGAA
rnacentral:rRNA from 1 species